rnacentral:rRNA from 1 species
CCCUUAGAUGUCCUGGGCCGCACGCGCGCUACACUGAUGCAUGCAACGAGUUUAUAACCUUGGCCUGAAAGGUCUGGGUAAUCUUUUGAACGUGCAUCGUGAUAGGGAUAGAUUAUUGCAAUUGUUAAUCUUGAACGAGGAAUUCCUAGUAAACGCGAGUCAUCAGCUCGCAUUGAUUACGUCCCUGCCCUUUGUACACACCGCCCGUCGCACCUACCGAUUGAAUGGUUCGGUGAAGAUCUCGGACUUCGAUAUUUAUUCUUUAUUGAGUUUAUAUUGUGGGAAGUUAUCUAACCCUCAUCAUUUAGAGGAAGGUGAAGUCGUAACA